AGAGAGAGAGAGAGAGAGAGAGAGAGAGAGAGAGAGAGAGUGAGAGAGAGAGAAGUACGUGGGGAAAGAUGCUCAUGGGAAACCUCUCUCUUCUUCCAUGGGUCAUAGAAGGGUUUGAGGGACAAGGGGACGUGAGAUACUGCGUUGGGGAAUGAAGAUGGAAGAGGAUGCUGGCGGAAGAGGGGGAGAAGUGGGAAAGAUGCUUGCAAGUGAAAACUCUCUCCUCUUAUGAACGAGAAAGGGAUUGAAGGGCAAGGAAUGAUGGGGGAAGGGUAGGGGAUAGCUUCUUCUUCUGCCCCCAGUAUAUCCAUGGAUGAGAUAUCGAAUGCACAUCUCAACUCAAUCGGUAUUAUCCAUUUCAUACCUUUAUACUCAUUUCUCAAAGGCAAGUCAGCUAGUCAGCAUCCUUUCAAAUCUCGUAGUUCAUCUGAGAGGAAAGUCAGUCCAGUAAUUAUUGUUCUCCUGUAUCGGGAAAGCGUAUGCUAACUUAUGCUAAUGUAAGUCUACGGAGCCUAACCUACGCUGGCCUAAAGUACAGAGUAACCUUAGUUAACGUGAAAUAACUUAUGUGCCGUUCCUGAAAGAGGCGGUCAGUCAGUUAAGUUGUGUAGAAUAGAUACUUGUGUGGGUGCUCUCUCUCUCUCUCUCUCUCUCUCUCUCUCUCUCUGAGUAAUAUCUACACGCGUCAACCCUAAAAUACCUUGUUUCCAUACGUUUUCUUUCUUGGUCUAUUUUCUUUUCUCUCGUCAUCAUUCUCACUCGUUAUUUUCCCUUCUUCGUACGUUGCAUAUAAGUAUUUUCGUAUUUUCAUUCACUUAGACUCUUAUUUGACUGUUUUAGCGCACGUAUGGACACACACACACACACACACACACACACACACACACCGAGACGAGAGGGUUUUGCAUCAAGCUUCGUGUCAGACGGUCGCCACUCGGUCUUGGAGGAGGAGGAGGCGGAGGAGGAGGGUGCAAGGUCAGAGUGAGGGUUCCCUGCUUCCCCGUGUCCGCCGCCACGUCUGCCAUGAACCGUGAGUCACCUUGUCCUUCCCUCAACCUCAUCCCCAUCUUACCCAAUCCUCCUCCUCCUCCUCCUCCUCCAGUUAAACUUGCAUUCUCUAGAAAGGCGAAGGGUGCGAGGAGACAUGAUCGAGGUUUAUAAAUGGAUGAAGGGCUUUAAUAAGGGAGAUAUUCAUAAGGUUUUGUUGGUAAGAGAACCGGGUAGGACACGAAGUAAUGGGUUUAAACUGGAUAAAUUCAGAUUCAACAGGGACAUAGGCAAAAAUUGGUUUACCAACAAGGUUGUGGAUGAGUGGAAUAGGCUUAGCAGUCAUGUGGUGAGUGCCAAUACAAUUGUCACAUUCAAAAAUAGAUUAGAUAAAUUCAUGGACAGCGAUACCAGGUGGGGUUAGAUACACGGGAGCUUAGGGUCAAAGGAACUGCCUUGUAUAGGCCUACCGGCCUCUUGCAGAUUUCAAUGUUCUUAUGUUCUUAUGUUCCUCAUUUCCUUCUUCUAUAAUCUAUCAUCACAAUGACUGGCAUCUUCUAAGUCUUCCAAGUAGCGUGCCUUACCCAAUCCUCCUCCUCCUCCUCCUUCACAUUCUCCUCCUCUAAUCUAUCAUCUCACUGACUGGCAUCUUCUAAGUCUCCCAAGUAGCGUGCCUUACCCAAUCUCCUCUUCCUCAUUCUCCCUACCUUACCCAAUCCUCCUCCUCCUCCCUCCUACUCCUCCUCCUAUUUAUUUUCCUACUUCUCUAAUCUACCAUCUCACUAACUCGAAACUGCUAAGUGUUCGAGUAGUGAGCUUUACCCUCUACUCGUGUUCCCCUACUUCACUCUGUUCUCUUCUUCUCCCUCUUCCUCUACUCUUCUCAGUCCUCCCUCACUUCUCUCUUUCACUCUAACAGGAAAGGACAUGAAUUAAAACCGAGGAAAUUAGUGAGUGUGUGUAUGUGUGUGCUUUCCUUGUGUUUGCCUUUUCGUAAGCAUCUCAUGAAAGUCAAAUGGGCAGUCACUUUUAAUUACCAGCCCAGACCCUUUUUUUUCAUUAACUACUGUAUCUAGUCUCAUCCCGACCCGUCCUGUUCAAUCCUGUGCUACGUUAGUCCGCCCCAUCCACUCCGUCCGCUAAAUAUACUUCACCAUUUAGCACAUAUUUGCAUCCUAACUAACUUAACUAACAGCCUUUCUAUCCUAUACUAUCCUACCGUACCUUACCCUACCCUACCCUACCCCGUCCCAUCCAUUACUACGUCUGGUUCCGUUCUGCUCAAAAUACUUCAUCAUUUGGCACAUAUCUGCAUCCUAACUAACUAACUCUUCCUUUAUCGCAAUCCUUCUGUUCAUUUUCUCCCUGUAUUGCACUGUGACCGUCUAUCCCACCCUUGUACCCAACUCUAUAACGCAAGAUUUUAGUAUAGUCUCUCAUUGCUAACUUAUUAUUCUUAGCAUUAUCUACUCGUAUUCGUAUUCAAGUUUUUAUUAUAUUGUGACUUGUUUUGUGACCACGACCUUACCUAACCUAGCCUUACUUAACCUUUCAGCCUCUAUGCCCUUCUGUUCUAUGCCUUAUGAGGAAAAGAAAACGGGGUGGAGGGAGGGGUGGAGGGAGGGAGGGAUGGAGGUAGUUAAAGUCGUGGUGGUGGUUGACGUUUUCUCCAUAACUAUUCAUUACUAUUCCCUCCUUUAAUGCCUUUGCCGCAGUAGUAGUUAACACACACGAUUCUGCAAUGUUUAUCUUAUCCCAUUGCAUUUAUUACAUUAGUAUGCGAUGUUUUUUCUUUCACCUAACGCGCCUGAUCAACAGCAUAAGCGCUUUAAUAUGCUUCCUCGCGCAACGCCUCGACAGAGAACCCUUGUUUCGUCACCACGGCACCUCGAGGAACUCAGAAAUUAUCAGAACUCGAGCAUAAAAGUCUUGAGAGAGGAAACCAUGCGCGGGAGGGUGGGCAGGGAGGGUGAGCAGUAUGGUGAGGUGGGUUGAAGGGGGGUGGAGUGGGUGGGUGGGAAGGGGAGGCGAGAUGGGGUUUAAAAGUGGGUUGGAAGGAGGGAGAUUGUGUGGGUGGGGAUAUGGGUGGGCUGGGUGGGUAUAAGAGGUGGGUGGGCGAGAGACAGUGUGUGAAUGGAGGCUGAGUGGGUUAGAAGGUGGGCUGGAGAAAAUUAACUGAUAUGGAGGAAAAAUAGGUGGGCUUAAAGGUGGGUGGCAAGAAGCUAACGGAUAUAGGUGGAAAGGUGGUCUAGGAAAGUGGGUGGAAGGAAGACAGUGGGUAUAAGGGGAAUGGUGGGCAGACUGGGUGGAGGGAGGUAUAGCAUGUGGAUGGGAGGGCGGGCAGGUGGGUGGGUUCAAAGCUAUAUAGAUAUUGGACUAAAAAAAGUUUGAGAAUUAAACAGCGGGUGUGAGAGAGUUAAAUGAUGCAAGAAUAGACAGAAAAGAGAAAUGGGAACAGUGAAAUCAAUGGAGAGAAUAGAGAGAAAGAGAGAAAAAGAGACGGGAGAGAGUAGGAAGAGAUACAUAUUGGAGUAGAAAAAAAAGUUUGUGAAUUAGAGUUAUUAGACAGUGGAGGGAGGAAGCGAGACACGAGAUGGCGGUGCAUGGCGGGUAUUCAGUGCCUCUGUGUGUCUGGCCUCUGGUGGGCGGUGUCAGGGGUCAAUGGGGGUAUUGUGUCCUGGAGGCGGAAGAUGCUGAUUCACUGGCGGUAGGAGAGAUGGGUUACUACUGCGCGGGGUGAGUGGCUGGAGAGGGCAGGAGGGAGUGGGUGAGUAGGGAGGCGGAGUCAAGCAUGCAGGCAGUCAGACAGUUAAGCACACCACCGUCUGCAUGGGAAGGAGUCAGGGUUUUUUGGGUGUGUGCUGACGUGCUGGCUCUGGUAACGGUGGAUAGGAUACUGCAGAGGGAGAGGAAGGAGAGAGAGGAUGGAGGAAGGAAUGGAGGGAGAGGAGACGGAGCAAUAGUUAGUUAGUUAAUCAGGUUUUUAUGAGUAUUUACUGACCUCCUAGAUUUGGUAAUGGUGGAUAGGAUACUUCAGGGGCAGAGAAGGGAGGGAGGAAUGGGUUGAGGGAGAGGAGGGAGCGGGAUCAUGGCGAAUAUAGUAAGUUAGUUAAUCAGGUUUUUAUGACUAUGUGUUGACUUGCUGGAUUUGGUCAUGUUGGAUAGGUUACUGCAGGAGAGGGAAAAGGGGAGAAGGGGAGGAGGGAGGAACGACUGGAGGGGGAGGAGAGUGAAUAAGGGAAAUUUUCAAUCCCUCACUAUUUUGCCCUUUCACUUUAUAUUUCCCCCUCUCUUUCUCAUUCUUUUCUCUCUCAUUUUCUUUUUCCCUUUCUCUCACUUUUUCUCUCGCACGUUAUUUUUCCCUCUCUCACUUUAUUUUUCCCUCUCUCACUUUCUAUUUCCUCCUCUCUUUCUCACUUUUUCGCUCUCAUUUUAUUAUUCCAUUUCACUUUUUUCCCUCUCUCGCACGUUCAUUUUCCCUCUCUCACUUUCCUUCCCCCUCUCUCUCACUAUCUUUCUCACCAUCUCUCUCUUAUUCUUCUUCCUCCUCUCUCUUUCUCCGCCUCACAUCCUCCUCUCCGCCGCACAUUAAAAACCCAUUCAUAAACCUAUUAAUAAACCAAACUGCCGGAGCGUCAGUUUUGGUAAUGUCUGAAGCUGUUUAUUUUCGUUACGUCGGCGUAGAUGUGCCUUUGAAACCCAACACGCUUCUCUUCCCCAGGCUCGGCGCUGCUGCUGGGGCGUGGCUGAGGGUGUGUGGCUGAGGGCUCGCUAUGCCGGCUGUUGGGGUCAAGGCGUUAGGAGAGACACAGAGGCACCUUCAAGACCCGACCUGCUGCGUUCUUUGGGGCUCCUCGAACACCUGUCUUUGGAACCAGGUGAGAGAGUAGUGUGGAGGUCUUAGUAUUAUAGGGUCGCGUUCUUGAAGUCGAAAUUGGGUCACGAAAAGUUGGUACUGGGUCAAGUGAUGUAAUUAGUUUAGAGUUGAAAUUAGGUCAGGUAAGGUCAGGUAGGGUAGAGCUCAGGUGAGGUAAGGUUAUAUUAGGUCAGGUGAGGUUGGAAUUAGGUUCUGGUCAUAUUCUUUAACACUUCAGCGCCCAAGCACACAAAUUUGACAAGGCCUUCGUCGGAGUUUUACGCAUUUCCAGCGGUAGUUUUAUGACCCUGGUGGUAGUGUGACCCUUCUUCUGUACCAUGAACCUAAAAACACACUCAUGAGAACUCAUUUAAUCUCCUCUUUAGCCUUUGGAAAUAGCUGAUGUGAGAGGCGGAAGCGUUUGAGAGUACCGACCAUAUAUGAGUGAGUAGUUAGUGGACCUUUGUGUUAGCUCCGUCGUUCACUGAGGCGCCGAAAGUGACAACAGGGAAGGACAGGGACGAUUUAUAUAUAGUCUAAUAACUCUAAUAGCCUCGCAUGGUAGCUAUAUACAAGGAAGAGUCUCAGCCGAUGAAACUAUACGCCCUACUCGCUUCUUUACGUUUACAUACACUUGAGGUGACAUAAACGCCCCCACACACACACACCUUUUCUCCCUCUAUAAGCCUGCAUAAGGAUGACAUACACAUGCACUCCUCCUCUCUCCUCCCGAAACUGAUUUCUCUUUUUGGGCACUCUACUCUAUUUAGGAGCAGUAAGUAGCGGGCUUUUUUUUCAUAUUAUUUUCUCUUUUGUUACGCCCUUGCACUGUCUCCUCUGCUGUAAAAAAAAAAAAAAAAAAAAAAACGCUUGCAUACACCCGCACACCUUUCCCCUCCCUCCCUUCCGCUGGUCUCUCCGUGCGCCGUCGUGUGGAAAAUAUUGCCCCCUUAAGCUUCAUCCUGGCUAAGACGCAAUAAAUCUCUCGCUUUCGGGGAACUCAGGGACUUGCUUGUGUAUAUUUUCCUUAAACUCAGACGCCGGUGAGAAACGUUUUUGGGGACUGGAUACUGUCGAAGGUGAGGCGCAAAGGGUUCUGGGAAAGGCUGAUGCUUCUUCGUCUGACAGUCACGUGAGCCCUCGACUUUCAGGGAGGACUUAUUUAUUUAUUAUUUUCUUCCUUCACUCUGUUCCUCCUCCUCCCCCUUCUCGCUCUCCUCCUCCUCCUCCUCCUCCUCUUCUUCUCUUCGUUUCUUUAUAUAUCGUAUUGAAGGACCGUAAAAUGAUUGCUUCUUUUUCUUCCUUAAUCCUCAACGUCACUUCCUUUUGUCAACUCCGGCGUUUUUAGCGAAGAUUCGAGCGGGCGAACGUAAAAGUUGUGGGGAUUAACUCUCUCUCUCUCUCUCUCUCUCUCUCUCUCUCUCUCUCUCUCUCUCUCUCUCUCUCUCGAGCAUAACCGCGGUCCAUCCUUCCUUCCUUCCUUCCGUCACCCUUCGCCGCCUCCCCCGAGUCCUUGCCGCCUUGACCCGCUUCGUAGAGGGUGAGGGAAGACCAACGGCGCGGCGGAAGCACCACAUAAGGCACUUAGCUCCCCUUCAGCGGCCUCAGGAGUCAAGGGAGGGCGGGAGGGCGUAGAGGGUGUAGGGAAACCAUAUGCAAAUCUUUCACCGUCAGUAUUUAGGGUUGACCUCAUUUCUCUCCCUUUCUGGUUCUUCUUUGUUUUCUCCUUUUCCUGUUUCUACUCUUUUGGGAUCAUCUUGUGUGUCUUCUUUCCUUUCUUGGUUCUUCUUAGUCUCCUUCUUUUCCUGUUUUCUACUCUUGUACAUCUUCUUUCUCCUUAUUAUCCUUAUUUUUUCUUUUACUCGACUCAGCAACCUUCUUCUUCUCCCUUCGUCUUCGUGCACAGUGUAAAAGUUAAAAGAAGCGAAGAUGGGAAGAGGACGUGAGGGAGGAGAGGAGAGGAAAGAUUGAAUGAAGGAGGAAGAAAGGAGUGGGAGGAGGAAAUGACGGGAGAGAAAGAGUGAAAGACGUGAGGAGAAGGAUGAACGAAGAGGAAGAGGAGGAGGUGGAGGAGGAGGAAGAAGAGGAAGACGACAAACAGCAUGAGUGAGGGAGGAAGGGAAG